rnacentral:lncRNA from 1 species
UACUUUCUCUAGUUCUUUUUGAACUAAUGCCUUAGCAGCUUCUAGCUCUUUCUUGUCAUCCAGGAAUUGUGGGAUGUUGUUAUUCGCAGCAGAUAAUACAUCUUCUAGGGAUUUAACGGUUUUUUGGACCUCCAACAAUUGGUUGGCUAAAGAACUGGCUUCUUCUUUUACUCGCCCCAACUCCUGCUCGACCUCCAUCUUUACAGUUUGG